rnacentral:ncRNA from 1 species
GCAGAGUAGGGGCAUGCGUGCUGGUCCCAAAGGGGACCGUGUAGUGCCGGCGGGACGGGGAGUUGUCCGCCGGACGAACAGCGCAGACGCGCGGCAGUGCAUGAUCCCGCAUCCCGCUGC